rnacentral:rRNA from 1 species
UACGUAGGGUGCGAGCGUUAUUCGGAAUUACUGGGCGUAAAGCGUGCGCAGGCGGGCUUUUAAGUCAGACGUGAAAUCCCCGGGCUUAACCUGGGAAUGGCGUUUGGGACUGGGAGUCUGGAGUGCGGCAGAGGAGACUGGAAUUCCUGGUGUAGCAGUGAAAUGCGUAGAUAUCAGGAGGAACACCAAUUGCGAAGGCAGCUCGCUGGGACGUAACUGACGCUGAGACGCGAAAGCGUGGGGAGCAAACAGG